GACGAACGCUGGCGGCGUGCCUAAUACAUGCAAGUAGAACGCUGAAGGAGGAGCUUGCUUCUCCGGAUGAGUUGCGAACGGGUGAGUAGCGCGUAGGUAACCUGCCUGGUAGCGGGGGAUAACUAUUGGAAACGAUAGCUAAUACCGCAUAAGAGUAGAUGUUGCAUGACAUUUGCUUAAAAGGUGCAAUUGCAUCACUACCAGAUGGACCUGCGUUGUAUUAGCUAGUUGGUGAGGUAACGGCUCACCAAGGCGACGAUACAUAGCCGACCUGAGAGGGUGAUCGGCCACACUGGGACUGAGACACGGCCCAGACUCCUACGGGAGGCAGCAGUAGGGAAUCUUCGGCAAUGGACGGAAGUCUGACCGAGCAACGCCGCGCGAGUGAAGAAGGUUUUCGGAUCGUAAAGCUCUGUUGUAAGAGAAGAACGAGUGUGAGAGUGGAAAGUUCACACUGUGACGGUAUCUUACCAGAAAGGGACGGCUAACUACGUG
rnacentral:rRNA from 1 species